AUGUGGUCCUUCAUUCUCCUGGUUCCUGCCUUUGCUUUCUGCAACUUGGGCACUGUGGCUGGAGCUCUUGUUGGUGAAUACUGAGGAAAAAGAGGCAUUGGAUACCUCAACCUUCUCCAUAUCCCAGGACUCAAAUUGCUGCUGACAGACCUGGCCUAGGAAAAUUGACUACAGCUUUCCAGGAUGGCUGAUUGGAUUGCAGUUUGGAAAGAAAACUAUUUGCCUCCAGAAACAAAUGCUGUGUUAUGAAACUCUUGGACCACUGGCCAAGACAGACCUGGCCAACCAUCACAAAGCAACAAACCAACCAUCAACACCCAGCAGAGGCUACCAGCUGCAUUGGCCACAGUGCCUCAGGCUGGAAUCACACCCUAUAAAUAAAAUGCUCUCCACGAAAAAGA